rnacentral:lncRNA from 1 species
CUGCAGGGCACGGGGUUGACUUUGAAGAAGGUGUGAUCCUAAGUUGUGUUUGACCUGAGCUCCUGUCACCCCUGAAGGCAGCAGAGGAUGUCCUGUCAGUGACCCAGGAGGAUGGCUUCCUGAGCCCAUUGCACAGAAGGGCUUUCGUGGUUGGUUUGCCCCGCUAGACUAAGGACAGAGGACUGCUGGGAAGGCACAUAAGGGAACAAAAGGGACUUUGACCCAG